CUCAUCCUCAUUGGUGGUUGGUGUUGCUGCUCGCCCGUUCGAUAGGUUUCCACAGUAAUCUUUAUGCUGCAUUAGAGACAUAGAUACAGAGGUACUGUACUGUGUUCUUACAACSGCAAGGUGCUGGGCUGGUAACCUUAAAGAAGGAGUAAGGCACGGAAGAGCAGGCGUUCCCCUUUGUUGUAGAGCAUCGGUGGUUAAGGACCUCCAGCUGCAGGAGGUCAGCCAGCAAGUCGCAGUUCAUGUUAUUUCCUGCUAYAGAGAGCACUUGGAGAAAGGAAGUCUUCCUAGGACCUCUGCCUACCGCCCAUGAAAUACUCAUUUCUGUUUUAGGUAAGUGUAUUGCUUUGCUUUGAUACAUACUGAGCAGAAGGUAUUGAUUUCUUUCUGAAAACUCAUGUCAU
rnacentral:lncRNA from 1 species